rnacentral:rRNA from 1 species
CGCUGGCGGCAGGCCUAACACAUGCAAGUCGAGCGGUAGAGAAGGAGCUUGCUUCUUCUUGAGAGCGGCGGACGGGUGAGUAANGCCUAGGAAUCUGCCUGGUAGUGGGGGACAACGUUUCGAAAGGAACGCUAAUACCGCAUACGUCCUACGGGAGAAAGUGGGGGAUCUUCGGACCUCACGCUAUCAGAUGAGCCUAGGUCGGAUUAGCUUGUAGGUGAGGUAAUGGCUCACCUAGGCAACGAUCCGUAACUGGUCUGAGAGGAUGAUCAGUCACACUGGAACUGAGACACGGUCCAGACUCCUACGGGAGGCAGCAGUGGGGAAUAUUGGACAAUGGGCGAAAGCCUGAUCCAGCCAUGCCGCGUGUGUGAAGAAGGUCUUCGGAUUGUAAAGCACUUUAAGUUGGGAGGAAGGGUUGUAGCUUAAUACGCUGCAACUUUGACGUUACCAACAGAAUAAGCACCGGCUAACUCUGUGCCAGCAGCCGCGGUAAUACAGAGGGUGCAAGCGUUAAUCGGAAUUACUGGGCGUAAAGCGCGCGUAGGCGGCUUGAUAAGAUGGGUGUGAAAUCCCCGGGCUUAACCUGGGAACUGCAUCCAUAACUGUCUGGCUAGAGUACAGUAGAGGGUGGUGGAAUUUCCUGUGUAGCGGUGAAAUGCGUAGAUAUAGGAAGGAACACCAGUGGCGAAGGCGACCACCUGGACUGAUACUGACGCUGAGGUGCGAAAGCGUGGGGAGCAAACAGGAUUAGAUACCCUGGUAGUCCACGCCGUAAACGAUGUCAACUAGCCGUUGGAAUCCUUGAGAUUUUAGUGGCGCAGCUAACGCACUAAGU